UACGUAGGGGGCAAGCGUUGUCCGGAAUCAUUGGGCGUAAAGAGCGUGUAGGCGGCCCGGCAAGUCCGCUGUGAAAGUCAAGGGCUUAACCCUUGAAUGCCGGUGGAUACUGCCGGGCUAGAGUCCGGAAGAGGCGAGUGGAAUUCCUGGUGUAGCGGUGAAAUGCGCAGAUAUCAGGAAGAACACCUAUGGCGAAGGCAGCUCUCUGGGACGGUACUGACGCUGAGACGCGAAAGCGUGGGGAGCGAACAGG
rnacentral:rRNA from 1 species